rnacentral:rRNA from 1 species
UUUAACUGAAGAGUUUGAUCAUGGCUCAGAUUGAACGCUGGCGGCAGGCUUAACACAUGCAAGUCGAGCGGAGUGAUGGUGCUUGCACUAUCACUUAGCGGCGGACGGGUGAGUAAUGCUUAGGAAUCUGCCUAUUAGUGGGGGACAACAUUUCGAAAGGAAUGCUAAUACCG